rnacentral:ncRNA from 1 species
UGGCAAACUCACCGAAAGAUGAGGACGCAAAGCCAAGGGUCUAAAGCUAAUAAGCCAUGACAGCCGGUUGCCGU